ensembl:lncRNA
GGAAGUUUGUUUUAAUAUACAGAAUGAAAAAAGACUGGGAGGAUGCUAUUCCAGCCACGCUCUACCCUCUAAAUUACUUCCGGAUAACCUCCUGGAAAGUGCCAGGAGCCUCUGUUGAACAUUCGGUGCCCUCAGAAUCCUGUUGGUAUGGAUGGGAACUGAAAACUUUUGAUACUGGAGAGGAGAGAUUUAACUCUGAGGGGCUGCAGAAAAGAAAAUGUGUUCCUGUUCCAGAACCUCCAGGUGCUGGUUUGCAAGGUAAGCAAGGUUGGACUGGCUGCUAGGAAUUUUUC